CCUACGGGAGGCAGCAGUGGGGAAUAUUGCACAAUGGGCGCAAGCCUGAUGCAGCCAUGCCGCGUGUGUGAAGAAGGCCUUCGGGUUGUAAAGCACUUUCAGCGAGGAGGAAGGUGGUGAACUUAAUACGUUCAUCAAUUGACGUUACUCGCAGAAGAAGCACCGGCUAACUCCGUGCCAGCAGCCGCGGUAAUACGGAGGGUGCAAGCGUUAAUCGGAAUUACUGGGCGUAAAGCGCACGCAGGCGGUUUGUUAAGUCAGAUGUGAAAUCCCCGGGCUCAACCUGGGAACUGCAUUUGAAACUGGCAAGCUAGAGUCUCGUAGAGGGGGGUAGAAUUCCAGGUGUAGCGGUGAAAUGCGUAGAGAUCUGGAGGAAUACCGGUGGCGAAGGCGGCCCCCUGGACGAAGACUGACGCUCAGGUGCGAAAGCGUGGGGAGC
rnacentral:rRNA from 1 species